AAACACCACACGUACUCUCUAAUAAUUGGGAGCUGAAUGAUGGACACACACAGGAACUGACCAUUUGCAAAACCAGAAACCAAAGCAAAAUUGAAUCGUGCAAAUGACAUCAAAACAGGAAAAGGCAGAUAUAUCUAACUGAGCCUGUUUUAAAGAAGUGAAGCCUCUGGUAUGUCAGAGCUGCACAGUCUUCCAUGGGACUUCCUUUGUGAACAGCUUCCAUUUAAAAGACUUGUAUGAAUACAUUGUUUCAAUCAAGUCCCUGAAGAACACAUUUGUCCUCUGAGCUGCUGGCAGU